rnacentral:tRNA from 1 species
AUCAUUUUGGCAGAUUAGUGCAUUGAAUUUAGAAUUCAAAUAAGUAUAUUUUACAUAUGAUA